CCGUGCUAAGCGGGGAGGUAGCGGUGCCCUGUACCUGCAAUCCGCUCUAGCGGGGCCGAAUCCCUUCUCGAGGUUCGUUUACUUUAAGGUCUGCCUUAAGCAAGUGGUGUUGACGUUUGGGUCCUGCGCAAUGGGAAUUCAUGAACCAUGUCAGGUCCGGAAGGAAGCAGCAUUAAGUGAAACCUCUCAUGUGCCGCAGGGUUGCCUGGGCUGAGCUAACUGCUUAAGUAACGCUUAGGGUAGCGAAUCGACAGAAGGUGCACGG
rnacentral:SRP_RNA from 6 species